rnacentral:rRNA from 1 species
UACGUAGGGGGCAAGCGUUGUCCGGAUUCAUUGGGCGUAAAGAGCGUGUAGGCGGCCAGGUAGGUCGGUUGUGAAACUGGAGGCUCAACCUUCAGAGGUCGACCGAAACCAUCUGGCUAGAGUCCGGGAGAGGAGAGUGGAAUUCCUGGUGUAGCGGUGAAAUGCGCAGAUAUCAGGAAGAACACCAGUGGCGAAGGCGGCUCACUGGACCGGUACUGACGCUGAGGUGCGAAAGCGUGGGAGCAAACAGG